rnacentral:rRNA from 1 species
AGCGAACGUUAGCGGCGGGCUUAACACAUGCAAGUCGAACGAGAAUGAGGGGGCAACUCCUCUAGUAAAGUGGCGGACGGGUGCGUAACACGUGGGUAAUCUACCUUCCGGCGGGGGACAACAGUCCGAAAGGAUUGCUAAUACCGCGUACGUCGGCGAGGGCUCAGGCUCUUGCCGGGAAAGAUGGCCUCUCCUUGGAAGCUGUCACCGGAAGAUGAACUCGCGGCCCAUCAGCUAGUUGGGAGGUAACGCUCACCAAGGCGAAGACGGGUAGCUGGUCUGAGAGGAUGAUCA